UUUCAGUGUACAUGAAAGAUGAGGGGCGAAAAAAAGGCUAAGAAUGGCAAGGUUCCUCUCCAAAGCCUAAGAAAGGUUGGACAAUUUUCCCUCUUUUUUUUUUUUCCCCCUCACAAGAAGACAUUGAGGAAGGUUACUAACCGGCACUUCAAAUCUGGCUAGUUCUUAGUCAUAAAAAGAAUUAUUGUUGAAAUUUUGUAUAGCUGGGGAAACAAAAUUUUGCUUUUAAUGCAUGUCACUUUCUUGAAAUGAGUCUAAUUUUUUCUUCUUCCUUGUCUGUCUUCAUUCUAAACAAAAACUAUACCAA